ACGUCAGAACUGUUUCGGUCUUCCAUCAGGGUUUCCCCUGACUUCAACCUGAUCAAGUAUAGUUCACCAUCUUUCGGGUCACAGCAUAAAUGCUCAAGGUACGUUCCAGUUAGAGGUAUAAAUAAUAUAAAUAUUAUUAUACAUAACUAUAUAGAACGCCCCGGGAUUGUGUUUAUUAACUAAAAUAGUUAAAAAACUAAUCCCAUUGUUAGUCAAGUUAAUUACGCUAUUAGGUUU
rnacentral:rRNA from 1 species